UGUGCAGCUGUGGGGGUAGGUUGGUGAAGUGCAUGCUGGGAAAGGUUAUAUAAAGUCCCCUCACCCAAAAACAAACUCUCUUUUCCUGACACUACAAUACAGGACACAACACUGACCUGGCUUCUGGAAAUCCACUCAACAAAACACUUUCUUUGGAAGAUCCUGUACCUGAAUGCAAAGUACCCCGGCAGUGCCCAUGAUGCCCACAUCAUUCACCAAUCAGGGAUAUGGCAAAGAUUAAGAAUGAUGGAAGGCCAAGACAUUUGGCUAUUGGGAAACUCAGGCCAGCCCCUUUGGACGUCCCCAAGGCUGAACCUGAUCAGCACACGAACAAACCAGUGACUCAUCAUGAAUCCCUCCCCCAAAAACUAGAUAACACACUAUUGAUCACACAGGAGCUCAGUUGCUGUAAGGUCUGAGACGAUGAUGGAGUUAUUGCCAGCUCAGUUCCUGUUUUGGUCUCAGCGUAAGAUGGAGUCCCAGCAUGAUUUUAGAGAGAGAGACAUAAGCAUUGAGGGAAUGGUAUUGUAUCGCUGGCCUGUAACUGUAUG